AUGUCUUUAUUUGUGAAGUAUCAAAGCACCCAACUAAUGUUUGACGUGCAUAGACUAAAUCUGGGGAUGCCACCAGAGCGAGGACACUAUUACCUGUCGCGCAGUCCUGCUGCAGCUUCGAGGAGGACUCUGCACCUGCAGAUCCUUAAAAAAGCUCUGGCCAGUCGUAGGCGAGUUAGCGGCCUCCGGUGUGGGUGGCCGCGGAGCUGGGCGGAGCUGGCGUGCGGCUUCCGGGGCCGGCUCUCACGCGGGAGACAGGACCCCGGGCCCCGCCCGCUAGGCAGGCCACGCCCCGGUACGGUAGCCAUGCCCAACAGAGGAAAGCGACCGAAGUUCCAGGCCCACGACGCCUGCUUCGGCAGAGUGACCAAGACGGAUUACGCCAACUCGGAUCCGCCGGUCGUGAGGUCUGGACGAGUCAAGAAAGCCGUAGCCAACGCUGUUCAGCAGGAAGUAAAAUCUCUGUGGCUUGGAAGCCUCUCAGGUUCCUGCAGAGGAAGCUCUUUCUGGGGCUGGUGAGCCCUGUGACAUCAUCGACAGCAGUGAUGAGAUGGACGCCCAGGAAGAAAGCAUCCGUGAGAGAACUGUCUCCAGAAAAAAGAAAAGCAAGAGGCACAAAGAAGAACUGGAGCGGGCUGGAGGAGAGGAGUAUCCCAUGGAUAUUUCGCUGUUGCUGGCUUCCUAUAUCCGUCUUGAGGACCUUGUGAAAUUUUCUCUGAUUUGUAAGAAUGUUUGGACUGUCAUUUGCACUGCUGCCUUUUGGAUCAGGUUGUACCGAAGGCACUACACGCUGGAUGCUUCCCUGCCUUUGCGUCUGAGACCAGAGUCAAUGGAGAAGCUGCGCUCUCUCCGGGCUUGUGUGAUCCGAUCUCUGUACCAUAUAUGUAUGAGCCAUUUGCUGCUCCAAUCUCCAAGAAUCCAGCCAUUCCGGAAAGCACCCCCAGCUUUCUGGUCACAUUAAAGAAUUCCAAAUACUUACUUUUCUGGUGCAGAAAGAUUGUUGGGAAAAGACAGGAACCAAUGUGGAAAUUCAACUUCAAGUUAAAAAAACAGUCCCCUAGGUUAAAGAGCAAGUGUACAGGAGGAUUGCAGCCUCCCGUUCAGUACCAAGAUGUUCAUACUGAUCCAUACCAGGACUGCUGCCUACUGCAAGUCACCACCCUCAAUUUCAUCUUUAUUCCCAUUGUCAUGGGAAUGAUAUUCACUCUGUUUACUAUCAAUGUGAGCACGGACAUGUGGCAUCAUCGAGUGAGACUGGUGUUCCAAGAUUCCCCUGUCUGUGGUGGUCGGAAACUGCACAGUGAACAGGGUGCACAAGUCAUCCUGGACCCAGUGCACAGCUUUUGACUCUGACUGGUGGCACCCUCAGUACCCAUUCUCCCUGAGAUCAUAG